rnacentral:lncRNA from 1 species
CUCUAAACUCUAAACCCUAAAUCCUAAACCCUAAACCCUAAACCCUAAAACGCUAGAGUUGAUGUUUUAGGGUUUAGAUUUGAAGGUUUAGGGUUUAGAGUUGAUGUUUUAGGGUUUAGAUUUGAGGUUUAGGGUUUUAGGGUUUAGGGUUCGAAUUUCAGAAAAAUAUAGGGUUUAGGGUUUACGUUUAGGGUUUAGAGUUGUUGUUUUAGGGUUUAGAUUUGAAGGUUUAGAGUUUAGGAUUUAUAGUUGAUGUUUCGGGCUUUAUGGUUUAGAGUUGAUGUUUCAUGGUUUAGGGUUUAGAGUUUAGAGUUGAUGAUUUAGGGUUUAAAGUUGAUGUUUUAAGUGUAGAUUUAGGGUGUAGAGUUUAAUUUUAGGGUUUAGAGUUGAUGUUUUAGGGUUUAGAUUUGAAAGUUUAGGGUUUAGGGUUUAGAGUUGAUGUUUCGGAGUUUAGGGUUUAGAGUUGAUGUUUCAUGGUUUAGAGUUUAAAGUUGAUGAUUUAAUGUUUAGAGUUGAUGUUUUAAGUUUAGAUUAGUUAACGUUUUUUUUGUGAAAGUUAAUCAAAAGAUUAU